GACGAACGCUGGCGGCGUGCAUAAUACAUGCAAGUCGAGCGAGCGGAACCAACAGAUUUACUUCGGUAAUGACGUUGGGAAAGCGAGCGGCGGAUGGGUGAGUAACACGUGGGGAACCUGCCCCUAAGUCUGGGAUACCAUUUGGAAACAGGUGCUAAUACCGGAUAAGAAAGCAGAUCGCAUGAUCAGCUUUUAAAAGGCGGCGUAAGCUGUCGCUAAGGGAUGGCCCCGCGGUGCAUUAGCUAGUUGGUAAGGUAACGGCUUACCAAGGCAACGAUGCAUAGCCGAGUUGAGAGACUGAUCGGCCACAUUGGGACUGAGACACGGCCCAAACUCCUACGGGAGGCAGCAGUAGGGAAUCUUCCACAAUGGACGCAAGUCUGAUGGAGCAACGCCGCGUGAGUGAAGAAGGUUUUCGGAUCGUAAAGCUCUGUUGUUGGUGAAGAAGGAUAGAGGUAGUAACUGGCCUUUAUUUGACGGUAAUCAACCAGAAAGUCACGGCUAACUACGUG
rnacentral:rRNA from 1 species